rnacentral:rRNA from 1 species
UACGAAGGGGGCGAGCGUUGUUCGGAAUCACUGGGCGUAAAGAGCACGUAGGCGGCUAAGUCAGUCGGAUGUGAAAUACCUCGGCUCAACCGAGGAACUGCGUCCGAUACUGCUUGGCUUGAGGUCCGGAGGGGAGAGUGGAAUUCCCGGUGGAGCGGUGAAAUGCGUAGAGAUCGGGAAGAACGCCGGCGGCGAAGGCGACUCUCUGGUCGGAAUCUGACGCUGAGGUGCGAAAGCUAGGGGAGCAAACGGG